AGAUUGAACGCUGGCGGCAUGCCUUACACAUGCAAGUCGAACGGUAACGCGGGGGCAACCCUGGCGACGAGUGGCGAACGGGUGAGUAAUACAUCGGAACGUACCCAGUAGUGGGGGGAUAGCUCGGCGAAAAGCCGGAUUAAUACCGCAUACGACCUACGGGUGAAAGCGGGGGGAUCGAAAGACCUCGCGCUAUUGGAGCGGCCGAUGUCGGAUUAGCUAGUUGGUGAGGUAAAGGCUCACCAAGGCUACGAUCCGUAGCUGGUCUGAGAGGACGACCAGCCACACUGGGACUGAGACACGGCCCAGACUCCUACGGGAGGCAGCAGUGGGGAAUUUUGGACAAUGGGCGAAAGCCUGAUCCAGCCAUGCCGCGUGUGUGAAGAAGGCCUUCGGGUUGUAAGCACUUUUGUUCGGAACGAAACGUCAAAGACGAAUACUCUUUGAUAAUGACGGUACCGGAAGAAUAAGCGCCGGCUAACUACGCGCCAGCAGCCGCGGU
rnacentral:rRNA from 1 species